rnacentral:rRNA from 1 species
UACGUAGGGUGCAAGCGUUGUCCGGAAUUAUUGGGCGUAAAGAGCUCGUAGGCGGCUUGUCGCGUCGACUGUGAAAACCCGCGGCUCAACUGCGGGCCUGCAGCCGAUACGGGCAGGCUAGAGUUCGGUAGGGGAGACUGGAAUUCCUGGUGUAGCGGUGAAAUGCGCAGAUAUCAGGAGGAACACCGGUGGCGAAGGCGGGUUGCUGGGCUGACACUGACGCUGAGGCGCGAAAGCUAGGGGAGCGAACGGG